rnacentral:rRNA from 1 species
GCGACCCCAGGUCAGUCGGGAUUACCCGCUGAAUUUAAGCAUAUAAAUAAGCGGAGGAAGAGGAACUUACAAGGAUUCCCCUAGUAACGGCGAGCGAACCGGGAGUAGCCCAGCUUGAGAAUCGGGUGGGAUGAUCCCUGUCCGAAUUGUAGUCUGGAGAGGCAUCCUCAGAGACGGACCGGGCCCAAGUUCCCUGGAAAGGGACGCCUGGGAGGGUGAGAGCCCCGUCCGGCCUGGACCCUGUCUCACCACGAGGUGCUGUCAACGAGUCGGGUUGUUUGGGAAUGCAGCCCAAAUUGGGCGGUAAACUUCGUCCAAGGCUAAAUAUAGGCGAGAGACCGAUAGC